UCCGCCCGCUGGCGGCGUGCUUAACACAUGCAAGUCGAACGGAAAGGCGCUGCUUUUGUGGGGUGCUCGAGUGGCGAACGGGUGAGUAACACGUGUGUAACCUGCCCUUGACUUUGGGAUAACUUCAGGAAACUGGGGCUAAUACCGGAUAGGAGCUCCUGCUGCAUGGUGGGGGUUGGAAAGUUUCGGCGGUUGGGGAUGGACUCGCGGCUUAUCAGCUUGUUGGUGGGGUAGUGGCGUACCAAGGCUUUGACGGGUAGCCGGCCUGGGAGGGUGACCGGCCACAUGACGACUAAGGGACGGACCAGUAGCCAACGUGAGGCAGCAGUGGGGAAUAUUGCACAACGGGCGGAAGCCUGAGACAGCAGCGCCGCGUGCGGAAUGACGGCCUUCGGGUUAUAAACCGCUUUCGCCUGAGACGAAGCGUGAGUGACGGUAAUGAGUAAAGAAGCACCGGCUAACUACGUG
rnacentral:rRNA from 1 species